rnacentral:rRNA from 1 species
UGGGCCGACACUGACGCUGAUGCGCGAAAGCCAGGGGAGCAAACGGGAUUAGAUACCCCGGUAGUCGUGGCCCUAAACGAUGAAUACUUGGUGUCUGGAGUUUCAAUGCUCCGGGUGCCGUCGCUAGCGUUUUAAGUAUUCCGCCUGGGGAGUACGCUCGCAAGAGUGAAACUCAAAGGAAUUGUCGGGGACCCGCACAAGCGGUGGAGCAUGUGGUUUAAUUUGACGCAACGCGAAGAACGUUACCUGGGCUAGAAUGUGAGGGAAUGUCGGGUAACGCCGACAGUCCGGGAAACGGGACCCGAAACAAGGUGAUGCAUGGCUGUCGUCAGCUUGUGUCGUGAGAUGUUGGGUUAAGUCCCGCAACGAGCGCAACCUUUAUCAACAGUGGCCAUCAUUAAGUUGGGCACUCUGUUGAGUCUGCCGCUGAUAAAACGGAGGAAGGUGGGGAGGAUGUCAAGUCAUCACGGCGUGUAUGGUCAGGGUUUCACACGUGCUACAAUUGGUGGUACAAAAGGUC